UCCGGUUUGUCACCGGCAGUCUCCUAUGAGUCCCCAACUUAAUGCUAGCAACUAGGGAUAGGGGUUGCGCUCGUUACGGGACUUAACCCAACAUCACACGACACGAGCUGACGACGGCCAUGCAGCACCUGUCUUACAGUUCCCGAAGGCACCAAUCCAUCUCUGGAAAGUUCUGUAGAUGUCAAGGCCAGGUAAGGUUCUUCGCGUUGCGUCGAAUUAAACCACAUGCUCCACCGCUUGUGCGGGCCCCCGUCAAUUCCUUUGAGUUUUAGCCUUGCGGCCGUACUCCCCAGGCGGGGUGCUUAAUGCGUUAGCUCCGGCACGGAGAGGGUUGAAGACCUCCCCACACCUAGCACCCAACGUUUACGGCUGGGACUAC
rnacentral:misc_RNA from 1 species